rnacentral:rRNA from 1 species
GAUGAACGCUAGCGGCAGGCUUAACACAUGCAAGUCGAGGGGUAGAAGUUGCUUGCAACUUUGAGACCGGCGCACGGGUGCGUAACGCGUAUGCAACCUACCUUUUACAGAGGGAUAGCCCAGAGAAAUUUGGAUUAAUACCUCAUAGUAUAUAACCUUCGCAUGUUGGUUAUAUUAAAGUUCCAACGGUAAAAGAUGGGCAUGCGUCCUAUUAGCUAGUUGGUGUGGUAACGGCACACCAAGGCGACGAUAGGUAGGGGUCCUGAGAGGGAGAUCCCCCACACUGGUACUGAGACACGGACCAGACUCCUACGGGAGGCAGCAGUGAGGAAUAUUGGACAAUGGGCGCAAGCCUGAUCCAGCCAUGCCGCGUGCAGGAAGAAGCAUCUAUGGUGUGUAAACUGCUUUUGUACAGGAAGAAACACCCCUUCGUGAAGGGACUCGACGGUACUGUAAGAAUAAGGAUCGGCUAACUCCGUGCCAGCCGCCGCAGUAAAAC